rnacentral:rRNA from 1 species
CUUGAGCACGUAGGUGGGUUUGUAAGUCAGGUGUGAAAGCUUUCUGUUCAACGGGAGAAUUGCAUCUGAAACUACGAAUCUUGAGUGUAGGAGGGGAGAAUGGAACUUCUGGUGGAGCGGUGAAAUGCGUAGAUAUCAGAAGGAACGCCGGCGGCGAAAGCGAUUCUCUGGCCUAUUACUGACACUCAGUGUGCGAAAGCUAGGGGAGCAAACGGGAUUAGAUACCCCGGUAGUCCUAGCCGUAAACGAUGGGCACUAAGUAGUGGGAAUUACCGAUGUUCUCUCUGCCGUAGCUAACGCAUUAAGUGCCCCGCCUGGGGAGUACGGCCGCAAGGCUAAAACUCAAAAGAAUUGACGGGGGCUCGCACAAGCGGUGGAGCAUGUGGCUUAAUUCGAUGCAACGCGAAGAACCUUACCGGGGCUUGACAUGGUAGAAGUAGGAACCCGAAAGGGUAACGAACGGUAUCCAGUCCGUGACUAUCACAGGUGUUGCAUGGCUGUCGUCAGCUCGUGUCGUGAGACGUUGGGUUAAGUCCCCUAACGAGCGAAACCCUUGUUUUUAGUUACCAGCGGGUUAUGCCGGGUACUCUAGAAAGACUGCCGUCGUCAAGACGGAGGAAGGUGGGGAUGACGUCAAGUCAUCAUGGCCCUUAUGCCCCGGGCUGCACACGUGCUACAAUGGUCGGUACAAACGGAAGCGAAGCCGAGAGGUGAAGCGAAUCCAAGC